AAAAAAAAAAAACUUCAUAAAAGAUUAGGAAAAGUAAAAGUAUAUGAUAUAGAAACCUAUAAUAUAAAUGAAUACAAAUAAAAACAAACAAAUCGAACCAAAUUAUAAAAAGUACUUGUUAUUUUUAAAGUUUAAAGAAACUAUGUAAGGCAAAUAGUACUAAAUAAAAAAAGGAGCAAUAACGCCCUCUUGUUUUAUCAAGAGGGAAGCUAUUGCUCCUUUUUUAGUUCAAAAACUCCUAUACAAUCAGACCAAAGUC
rnacentral:misc_RNA from 1 species